AGAACGAACGCUGGCGGCAGGCCUAAUACAUGCAAGUCGAGCGCCCAGUAAUGGGAGCGGCGGACGGGUGCGUAACACGUGGGAACGUACCCUUUGGUUCGGGAUAACUCAGGGAAACUUGAGCUAAUACCGAGUAAGCCCGAGAGGGGAAAGAUUUAUCGCCAAAGGAUCGGCCCGCGUUCGAUUAGCUAGUUGGUGGGGUAAUGGCUCACCAAGGCGACGAUCGAUAGCUGGUUUGAGAGAACGACCAGCCACACUGGGACUGAGACACGGCCCAGACUCCUACGGGAGGCAGCAGUAGGGAAUCUUGGACAAUGGGGAAACCCUGAUCCAGCCAUGCCGCGUGAGUGAUGAAGGCCUUCGGGUUGUAAAACUCUUUCGCGCACGACGAUAAUGACGGUAGUGCGAGAAGAAGCUCCGGCUAACUUCGUGCCAGCAGCCGC
rnacentral:rRNA from 1 species